AGGGCUCCCUGGUUUACACUUCCUUUGCAAAAUUUGCAUCUUACGUAUUUCACAUUUGCUUUGGUCUUACGUACUAAAUACUGCGAGCUUACGCAACCAAAGCAGCGACGUCGACUGCAGACGAUGCGUGUCCCAUUGAGGAAAAAGAGCUGAUGGCAAAAAUUGUCGCCGGCCUAUGGACACCUACUUGGGGUUCCUACGAAUCGGAAAAGUAAACGUUGCUAUUACUUGGAUACUCGGGUGGUUGAGGGGAACGCGAAAUUGGGGAGUUCCAAAUAAUUCACCGAAAACCAGAUGACACCAGAGAUUUUGGACCAUAGAAUCCCAGUAUGCCUAUAUUUCAAUCAAAAAUGGAUUUGCACUUUAAGAAAUGAUUUGAGAAUGUGUACGCAUAAUAUUUAUAUUAUUUAUUUAUAUAACAUUUCAGUUGGAUAAUUGGUUUUCGGUACAAGUUUAAUGCUCUUGUAUAAAUUUAUAAAUUUAUAUUCUGUGGUGUUGAUAAAUCCAUUCUUUAUGCUAUUCAAGAAGUAUAAACUUCACGUUCUAAAAUA
rnacentral:sRNA from 1 species